UUCCACCCUUUCCAUGAAGGACACGUUGGUGCUGAGAGUCGGCAGAUUCAGGAAUGUCCCCACAGAAGCACAGAGGGGGAAAGUCCCCUUCAAGGCCUCUGAGGCCUCACGUCACACCUACCAGGUGUCCACCUGCACCUGGACGUCUCCUCUUAACGCAGACCUGCUGUCACUUCUCCGUACUUGUCUCACGUGUCUUGUGUUUUACAGUCUUAAUGAGUAAAAUAUAAAAAAACAAAAACACCGUUACAUGUUAGUGUGUCAAUAAGGAUGAUUUUAUACCUCUUAUAACAAGCAGGUUAAGCCUAGCAGCUCAUCUAUGUAGCCUGUAAUAUGGCUGAUUGUUAUUUUUAAAAGUUUGUUCUUACUUAUAAAGUUAAAACUUAAGCACUUGUCUUCUUCAGUGAUCAGAUUAUGAAAUAAAAGGGUGUUUACUGCAGAA